UACGUAGGGGGGCAAGCGUUGUCCGGAAUCAUUGGGCGUAAAGAGCGUGUAGGCGGCCCGAUAAGUCCGCUGUGAAAGUCCAGGGCUCAACCCUGGGAUGCCGGUCGAUACUGCCGGACUAGAGUUCGGAAGAGGCGAGUGGAAUUCCUGGUGUAGCGGUGAAAUGCGCAGAUAUCAGGAGGAACACCGGUGGCGAAGGCAGGUCUCUGGGCAUUAACUGACGCUGAGGAGCGAAAGCAUGGGGAGCGAACAGG
rnacentral:rRNA from 1 species